GAUGAACGCUGACAGAAUGCUUAACACAUGCAAGUCAACUUGAACUUCAGUUUGGGUGGCGGACGGGUGAGUAACGCGUAAAGAACUUGCCUCACAGAUAGGGACAACAUUUGGAAACGAAUGCUAAUACCUGAUAUUAUGAUUUUAGGGCAUCCUAAGAUUAUGAAAGCUAUAUGCGCUGUGAGAGAGCUUUGCGUCCCAUUAGCUAGUUGGAGAGGUAACGGCUCACCAAGGCGAUGAUGGGUAGCCGGCCUGAGAGGGUGAUCGGCCACAAGGGGACUGAGACACGGCCCUUACUCCUACGGGAGGCAGCAGUGGGGAAUAUUGGACAAUGGACCAAGAGUCUGAUCCAGCAAUUCUGUGUGCACGAUGAAGUUUUUCGGAAUGUAAAGUGCUUUCAGUUGGGAAGAAAAAAAUGACGGUACCAACAGAAGAAGUGACGGCUAAAUACGUGCCAGCAGCCGCGGUAAUACGUAUGUCACAAGCGUUAUCCGGAUUUAUUGGGCGUAAAGCGCGUCUAGGUGGUUAUGUAAGUCUGAUGUGAAAAUGCAGGGCUCAACUCUGUAUUGCGUUGGAAACUGUGUAACUAGAGUACUGGAGAGGUAAGCGGAACUACAAGUGUAGAGGUGAAAUUCGUAGAUAUUUGUAGGAAUGCCGAUGGGGAAGCCAGCUUACUGGACAGAUACUGACGCUGAAGCGCGAAAGCGUGGGUAGCAAACAGG
rnacentral:rRNA from 1 species